GGGACCUUGGCGCAGUUGGCUAGCGCGCAGGUCUCAUAUAUCAAUAUGAUCUGAUUAAAACAUCAGAGUAAUCCUGAGGUCGUGAGUUCGAGCCUCACAGGUCCCA